rnacentral:rRNA from 1 species
UACGGGGGGGGCAAGCGUUGUUCGGAAUUACUGGGCGUAAAGGGCUCGUAGGUGGCCAACUAAGUCAGACGUGAAAUCCCUCGGCUUAACCGGGGAACUGCGUCUGAUACUGGAUGGCUUGAGUUCGGGAGAGGGAUGCGGAAUUCCAGGUGUAGCGGUGAAAUGCGCAGAUAUCAGGAGGAACACCUAUAGCGAAGGCAGCUUGCUGGGACGUUACUGACGCUAAGGCGCGAAAGCGUGGGGAGCGAACAGG